rnacentral:rRNA from 1 species
UACGGAGGAUGCGAGCGUUAUCCGGAAUCAUUGGGUUUAAAGGGUCUGUAGGCGGGCUAAUAAGUCAGAGGUGAAAGCGCUCAGCUCAACUGAGCAACUGCCUUUGAAACUGUUGGUCUUGAAUGGUUGUGAAGUAGUUGGAAUGUGUAGUGUAGCGGUGAAAUGCUUAGAUAUUACACAGAACACCGAUAGCGAAGGCAUAUUACUAACAAUUGAUUGACGCUGAUGGACGAAAGCGUGGGGAGCGAACAGG